GUUAGGAAUCUUCCACAAUGGGCGAAAGCCUGAUGGAGCGACACCGCGUGAGGGAUGAAGGCCCUAGGGUUGUAAACCUCUAAAAGAGGGACGAUAAUGACGGUACCUCUUGAAUAGCACCGGCUAACUCCGUGCCAGCAGCCGCGGUAAUACGGAGGGUGCAAGCGUUAUCCGGAAUCACUGGGCGUAAAGGGCGCGUAGGCGGUCUGUUAAGUCCGAUGUCAAAUCCCGGGGCUCAACCCCGGAUCGGCGUUGGAUACUGGCAGGCUGGACGGCUGGAGAGGCGAGUGGAAUUACCAGUGUAGCGGUGGAAUGCGUAGAUACUGGUAGGAACACCCAUUGCGAAGGCAGCUCGCUGGACAGCACGUGACGCUGAGGCGCGAAAGUGUGGGGAGCAAACCGGAUUAGAUACCCUAGUAGUCC
rnacentral:rRNA from 1 species